CCUACGGGAGGCAGCAGUGAGGAAUAUUGGUCAAUGGACGAGAGUCUGAACCAGCCAAGUAGCGUGAAGGAUGACUGCCCUAUGGGUUGUAAACUUCUUUUAUAUGGGAAUAAAAUGUUCCACGUGUGGGAUUUUGUAUGUACCAUAUGAAUAAGGAUCGGUUAACUCCGUGCCAGCAGCCGCGGUAAUACGGAGGAUCCGAGCGUUAUCCGGAUUUAUUGGGUUUAAAGGGAGCGUAGGUGGAUUGUUAAGUCAGUUGUGAAAGUUUGCGGCUCAACCGUAAAAUUGCAGUUGAAACUGGCAGUCUUGAGUACAGUAGAGGUGGGCGGAAUUCGUGGUGUAGCGGUGAAAUGCUUAGAUAUCACGAAGAACUCCGAUUGCGAAGGCAGUUCACUGGACUGCAACUGACACUGAGGCUCGAAAGUGUGGGUAUCAAACAGGAUUAGAUACCCCUGUAGUC
rnacentral:rRNA from 1 species